rnacentral:tRNA from 1 species
UCCGGAAUAGCUCAGCAGGUAGAGCGGUCGGCUGUUAACCGAUUGGUCGCAGGUUCGAGUCCUGCUUCCGGAGCCA